rnacentral:rRNA from 1 species
AUUGAACGCUGGCGGCAGGCCUAACACAUGCAAGUCGAGCGAGCGGCGGACGGGUGAGUAAUGUAUGGGGACUGCCCGAUAGAGGGGGAUAACUACUGGAAACGGUAGCUAAUACCGCAUACUAUCGGAUAACCCAUAUGGGAUUAGCUAGUAGGUGAGGUAAUGGCUCACCUAGGCGACGAUCCCUAGCUGGUCUGAGAGGAUGAUCAGCCAAACUGGGACGGAGACACGGCCCAGCCUCCUACGGAGGCAGCAGUGGGGAAUAUUGCACAAGGGGCGCAAGCCUGAGGCAGCCAUGCCGCUUGUAGGAAGAAGGCCCUAGGUUUGUAAAGUACUUUCAGUCGGGAGGCGUUACCGACAGAGGAAGCACCGGCUAACUCCGUGCCAGCCGCCGCGGUAAUAC